rnacentral:rRNA from 1 species
ACGGAAGGUCCGGGCGUUAUCCGGAUUUAUUGGGUUUAAAGGGAGCACAGGCCGGCUGUCAAGCGUGUUGUGAAAUGUAGGCGCUCAACGCCUGACUUGCAGCGCGAACUGACGGUCUUGAGUGCGCGCAACGUUGGCGGAAUUUGUCGUGUAGCGGUGAAAUGCUUAGAUAUGACGAAGAACUCCGAUUGCGAAGGCAGCUGACGGGAGCGUUACUGACGCUUAAGCUCGAAAGCGCGGGUAUCGAACAG